UACGGAGGGUGCAAGCGUUAAUCGGAAUUACUGGGCGUAAAGCGCGUGUAGGCUGUAUGGCAAGUUGGGGGUGAAAUCCCACGGCUCAACCGUGGAACUGCCUUCAAAACUACCAAACUGGAGUGCGAGAGAGGAUAGCGGAAUUCCAGGUGUAGGAGUGAAAUCCGUAGAUAUCUGGAAGAACAUCAGUGGCGAAGGCGGCUAUCUGGCUCGUAACUGACGCUGAGAUGCGAAAGCGUGGGUAGCAAACAGG
rnacentral:rRNA from 1 species